rnacentral:rRNA from 1 species
UAAUGGCAGGUCAGCAUACUGCCGUGAAUACGUUCCCGGGCCCUUGUACACACCGCCCGUCACACCAUGAGAGUUGGGAAUACCCGAAGCCUGUGAGCUAACUUAUAGAGGCAGCAGUCGAAGGUAGAAUCAAUGAUUGGGGUGAAGUCGUAACAAGGUAAC